rnacentral:rRNA from 1 species
CAUGCAAGUCGAACGGUAACGACUUCAUUACCUUCGGGUAAUGAAGGGCGACGAGUGGCGGACGGGUGAGUAACGCAUAGGAAUCUGCCCAGUAGUGGGGGACAACUCCGGGAAACCGGAGCUAAUACCGCAUACGCCCUACGGGGGAAAGCGGGGGAUCUUCGGACCUCGCGCUAUUGGAUGAGCCUAUGUCUGAUUAGCUUGUUGGUAGGGUAACGGCCUACCAAGGCAACGAUCAGUAGCUGGUCUGAGAGGAUGAUCAGCCACACUGCGACUGAGACACGGCGCAGACUCCUACGGGAGGCAGCAGUGGGGAAUAUUGCACAAUGGGCGCAAGCCUGAUGCAGCAAUGCCGCGUGUGUGAAGAAGGCCUGCGGGUUGUAAAGCACUUUCAGUAGCGAAGAAAAGCCUGAGGUUAAUAGCCUCGAGUCUUGACGUUAGCUACACAAGAAGCACCGGCUAACUCCGUGCCAGCAGCCGCGGUAAUACGGAGGGUGCGAGCGUUAAUCGGAAUUACUGGGCGUAAAGCGCGCGUAGGCGGUUUGGUAAGUCGGAUGUGAAAUCCCCGGGCUCAACCUGGGAAUUGCAUUCGAUACUGCCUGACUAGAAUGUGAUAGAGGUAAGUGGAAUUCCCGGUGUAGCGGUGAAAUGCGUAGAUAUCGGGAGGAACAUCAGUGGCGAAGGCGGCUUACUGGAUCAACAUUGACG